UAAUAACCGUUAGGGAUAGCAGAGGAAAGCCCACAGCCUGCGAGGACUUGGAACGGAUAGCCCGGCCCGUA
rnacentral:sRNA from 1 species